GCCAGGUGUGGCGGUGCAUGCCUGUAGUCCCAGCUACUUGGGAGGCUGAGGCAGGAGAAUCGCUUGAGCCUGGGAGGUGGAUGUUACAGUGAGCCAAGAUUGUGUCACUGUACUCCAGCCUGGGCAACAGAGUGAGACCCUGUCUCGG
rnacentral:SRP_RNA from 1 species